UCUACUCACCACCAUGCUUAUCAGCACCCAC
rnacentral:piRNA from 1 species